CUUAACUUAGUGGCGAACGGGUGAGUAACGCGUGAGGAACCUGCCUUCAGAGGGGACGAACAGUUGGAAACGACUGCUAAUACCGCAUGAUACUUGCGAAUGGCAUCAUUUGCAAGUCAAAGAUUUAUCGCUGAAAGAUGGCCUCGCGUCUGACUAGCUAGUUGGUGGGGUAACGGCCCACCAAGGCGACGAUCAGUAGCCGGACUGAGAGGUUGACCGGCCACAUUGGGACUGAGAUACGGCCCAGACUCCUACGGGAGGCAGCAGUGGGGAAUAUUGGGCAAUGGGCGCAAGCCUGACCCAGCAACGCCGCGUGAAGGAAGAAGGCCUUCGGGUUGUAAACUUCUUUUACCAGGGACGAAAAAUGACGGUACCUGGAGAAAAAGCAACGGCUAACUACGUG
rnacentral:rRNA from 1 species